UCCGUUUUAUUUCAUAAGCUUUAGAGUUUUAUCCUUUAUGCUUAGACCUAUGGUCUAGUUCAUGCUAACUUUUGUGCAGAUAUGAGGUAAAGAUCGAUAUUUCUUUUUUUCCCAUAUGGAUGUUCUGUUGAUCCAGUACCAUUUAUUGGAAAGAUAUUUCCCGUCGGACUGCUUUGCCUAGUAUUAGCAUUGGCAAUUGGAGUGACCUUCCUCAGUGCUCUGCAGAUCUGGUUCCAUAAUGGAAGAGGGGAGCAUUGGCUGUUGACUUAUUUUUUUUUUUUUACAGGUUAAAAAAAAUUUUUUUUAAUUUAAAUUCAACUUAAUUAACAUAUACUGUAUUAUCGUUUCAGAGGUAGGAUUCAGUGAUUCAUCAGUUGCAUAUAACACCCAGUGCUCAUUACUUCAAGUGUCUCCUUAAUGCCCAUCAGCCAGUUACCCCGUCUCAGGUAGGUGGGCAGGGACAUGCUCACACACAAACUGUUCCUUGGGGAGAGGAGCAGGGACCGGAGCUGGGUGCGCCCCCUCCUGGCCGAAGCGAGGAAGUCUUCGCUUUGUAGCGGCCUUCUGGAGUAACUGUGUUGGGCACAGAGCUGUCCUUUCUGUUGCCUCUGUGUUGGAGGAGAAAGUCCUGAGAUGAUUCAGGCUUUCCUCCCACUGUCUCUGCAGCCCCCUCAGUUCCUUUUCAAAUAUACUAUAUAGCGGCUCCCCUUUGCAUACAAAGUAAAUUUCAAACAACCAGGCAUGGCCAACCGGGUUUUUCAUAAUAUCAUUCCUGCCCUCUUCGAACUUCAGUGGGUUAUUGUUUCCAGAUUCAGUGAGAUACUACAUAUCGAGUACCUAGUGGGAGGUAGAUGUAUCAGUGAAGGAAUUUAGUUGCAAAAACAAAAAAAGCAAACCUACCUGAGUUCGUGCAAGCGGUAAAGAAAUUUGUUAAUGGACAUUGGAAGUUAAAAAUAACGAGGAUCCAGGACCAGUGCCAAAGUACAUACUGAACGCACCAGUGCCUGGACGGAGGCCUGGACCGGGGAGGGAGCUGCCAGGCUGGCCGGAGCUGCAGCUGCAGGCUGAAGCCUCACCGCCCCCCUCUCCGGAAACGGUUCUCCCUGGUGCCUCCUAUUCUUGGGACUCCUCUCAAUUGACCAUGGACCUGAGUACGUCCGGUGGACAGGCUCCAGGUCCCGGAUCUGUACCCCAGCCACACAAAGGAGGUUGGAGGGUGACUUUCUGGCUUCUGUGUUGGGAAGGCAGGGACUCAGUGGGGAAUUCCCCAGAUAUAAAGGGUAUUAAAAAGUUGCCAGAGACGUUGGCUAUGGUAGGUAAUCAAUCCGUAGUGCCUCUUUUCCCCAGAGAAAACAACGUACUAGAGUAGGCGUGUAAACAAACAUCCGUGCUCAGCGUAGACACUGUAUCUCUUGUGAAAUGCACUCUGAAAAUUUUCGCACACACAAUAAGCUUCAACUUGGUCCACUUCACGGUUAACCCUGUUUUAGUUGUGCUUGUCCUUGUUUCCCCAUCUCCCCCUCCCCACCCAUUAUUUUGAAGCAAAUCCCAGACAUGAAAUCUUUUCCUUCAUCUCUUGGCGUGCAUCUGCGUGUAUCUCUAAGAGAUGAAUGGCUUGUGAAGUUUUGAUUAUGGAGAAGCAUCAUAGCGUAGCCACCUUUCCGGUGUUUGCCUGAGCACUCAGAUUGUCCUUCGGGAAAACAAAUAUUUAUCUAGUAAAGAUAUUGGAAGAGAAAGCUCACAUUCUUCAGGAGCUGACAACCUAUUCAUUCACUCAUCUGUUCAUCCAUUCAGCAAAAGAUUAGUAGGUACUAGUGACUUUUCCCACACUUGGCUUGAUGCAGAGGUGACCAAAAAUAUAGUCGUUGCUUUUAUGGAGCUUUGAGAGACCAGACAAAGGCCUGAAGUGUUAAAUUAACAAAGCACAUGUGAACUAUUAGUCAAUAAACAAUAAAGAGAUAUCAUAAGGCAGUAGGCAUUUGAUCACAAAAUGAGUCAAGAAAAUAGUAGACAAAAAUCUUAUUUUUUAAAAAAUAUUUUAUUUAUUUAUUUGAGAGAGAGAAGGAGAGAGCAAGCAAGAGAGCACAAGCAGGGGGAGCAGCAGAGGGAGAGGGAGAAGCAGGCUUCCCGCUGAGCAGGGAGCCCAACACGGGGCUCGAUCCCAGAACCCUGGGAUCAUGACCUGAGCCAAAGGCAGACGCUUAACUGACAGAGCCACCCAGGUGCCCCCAAAUCCUCUAAGUUUUAAUGGAAGAUUUUUUGAUAUGCCAAUUCACAGUGACUCAUAGGUAGAAAUCACAUACCCAUUUAAGGUAAUCAAAUGUCUUUGACUGUGGAUUAUUUGAUCCAAGCAGUGAAAUUUGAAACAAAUUUUAAAACAGAGAAAAAGAACACUGCCCAACAUAUUUGCUAAAAUUGCCUCUCAGGGGAAAUCAUAAAAGCACAGAAAGCCCCCAAACAUAUCAUUUAUUUGUAGGCAGAUUUUAUAUGUUGUUCAGAGUUAUAUCACUCUGUAGGGAUAUGCUUAAGGAUGUGUAACUUCAAUGAUUUCCAAACCCAAAGUGGCAGGUAUCUGGCUCAUGGCUAUAACAAGUUGGUGUGGCUGUGAGGAAGGAAAUACAAGCCUUCCGGUUUAUAAGUAAAACAUAUAAAUAAUCCCAGAACUGAGCUGAGUUUUCAGAUUUUGUAAGUGCAGCAAGUGACCUCCAAGCUCUCCACUUCUAUCAUUUUUCAGUAGAGAUUGAAUUGCAAACAAUGAAAGAACUCCAUGUGGACCAGACAAGACAAGAUGGUCUAGUGCUUUGGACAAUCCUCAAAUUGCUGAACAUACAUCAGAUAGCAUGUCCUAAAUCAACACUGUCCAAGAUAUCUUGAGUGUAGAUGCUUGGACGUAUGAAUUAUGAUAUUUUGCAUAGAAAGAAAGGGCAAAAGUUAUCACCCCAAAAGUGAGGGUAGAGUUACCCAAGUAUGGCCACCUGGGCUGGGCUGGGCAGAACCUGCUGAUGGAUCAGGCACUUGGCUAGGUUCUUUCUUUGUCCAAGUUAUGUGAUUUGGAAAGGACUAUCAAAGACUGUGGGAGUGACCAAGAAGCUCAAAAUCAAAUCUCCAUUUUAAAGACCUUAGACCAGGGCAUCCAAACCCUUCCUUAAAGACAGCAAAUGAAUGAGAACUGCUAUAGAGACAGGGAAAACUCUUUCUAUGGAUUGUUUUGGGUUGGCCCUAAAUUUUCUUGGAAGAGGCUGUGAAAAGUGAAGAAAGGGACAAGAAAUGCAGUGCCUUUGUCCACAGAAGGGGGCCGUCUUGCCGGAAGUGUGACACUAGGACUCUGCACUAUAUCUCCAGGUCUCUGGAGGGAGGAAGAUGUGAUUUCCUGAAAAGAGAUAUGGUUGACUGGCUUCACCAUUUUCACCAUGAAAACAGACUGGAGGCUGCUGAUAGAGAGAGCACAAGCAGGCAGAGCGGCAGACAGAGGGAGAGGGAGAAGCAGGCUCUCUGCUGAGCAGGGAGCCCAAUGCGGGGCUCGAUCCCAUACCCUGGGAUCAUGACCCGAGCCGAAGGCAGCCACUUAACUGACUGAGCCACCCAGGCGCCCCAAAACACCUAGGCUUUGAUGACUGUUUUUUUCUGAUGGGGUUGAGGGAAGUUGUGAAGGAACCUGGGGGUGGGAAGAGGGCCCCUGAACAGGGUUGGCUGAUUUUAAUAAAGGAAUUUUUCCUCCUGGCCUUAGUCCAGGGGUGAGGAGCUUUUUGUUGUUAAAGUUGCUAACUCAUGGGAGGAAAAGAAACUAAACCAAGACAUAAGCUUUCAAUUUAAAAGGUCUUUUUUAAUAAACAAAAUGUUGACUUUAAAAAUUCAAGAAUGAUCGUAAAAUUUGGAUCACUAAGUAACUGUGAUGAUCAUACUGAGUGAGAAAGAAACAUGCCCAGAUCAAUAUUGCAAAAGAUGAUAAAUAAAGUCGUGUCAAAAGUGAUGUUAGAAGUUGAAGGAGAGAGAAAUCAAUCUAAUUGGGGGGAUCAGAGGCAUCAUGGGACGGUGGUCUGCUUGAAGUCAGUUGUCCUGGAUUCAGAUCCCACCUCUGCCAUAAUUAGCUAUGACCUAGCACUUCGACCUCCCUGAGCAUCAGUUACAGAUAAAACCGUCAUGUCAAACUUACAGCUUUGCUGUAUGAGCUGGAAACACUAUGAAUAACAUACCUCUUGACGUAUGAUUGAAGUAAUACCUAGUGUGGUUAUGAUAUUUAUUGGCACUGUGUUUUCGUGUUCAUGUAUUCAUUUCUCACAGAAAUAAUAAUAAGAAGUAAUGUCUUGAGUAAAAAAACCAAACCAAACCAAACAAAAACCCAACCCCUUUCUUGGCUGACCAGCGUUCAUUCAUUCCCUCUUCGUGACGACACUGCCAGCUUUAAACACUUCUCCCCGUCGCAUGUAGUCUUGGUGGGAGUGGAAAUCCAGUGGGCUGCCUUCCAUUCCAGAAGCCCCUUCCUUAGGGCCGUGGUGGAGCAAGCUCUCUUUGGAGAUUCUGACAAAGGGCUGGCUGAUCCCAACGGCAACAUCCUGGACAAGACCGUUCCUGCCAGCAAUGGAUCCUUUCACUCCUGCUGAUCUCACCCCUAAAGCUACCUUGGGUCCUGCCAAUUUCCACGGCUGGUUCUCGAAACAUGCCUACUGGUUUUCAGAGCUGUCGGUUUCCUCACAACAACCUUGUGCUGCAGGCAACCGGAGUUGGGUUUUCCCCAUUAGCAAGCAAAAAUCCUUGUUGUCUUUUCCACAUUACGGCCAGUUAAGGGCUCCUGGAGAAAGAGGCUGCUGGCCAGAAAGAGGAACAGAAGGGAGUGCAAGCCAGCAGAUGCUCCAAGAGCAGGAUGGACUCGCGUCAGCCAAGGUCAGCGGAAACUUAGAUGCAGACGUCCGGGGGAGACAGAGGAAGAGAGGCCCAUUUUUACACCCGUCCAUUCCCUGCCCCCCCCAACCAGCAGAUCCACCUCUGUCACCUCAUCCAGCUUCCUAACAGGGCCUAGGCUUCAGGUCCUACCCUCCCCUUUGAAAGGCUCCAGACUGUCCAAGGCCAGUCUGCAGCGUCACAGGCCUGGUCCAUCCAUGUGCUUCCCCAUCCACUAAGAAGUCCUGUCUCUCAACCAACCUGCCACCCCUGCCCGACCCUGCCAACACCCUUCCACAACGGGGUGGUGGGGGGAUCUCCAUUACUUUCAGCCCUACUGGACACACUUUCCAGCUGUGAGCUCAGACCUGCCUUCCCACGGUUGUCUAUUGGAUAAUUGUCUUAGGUUGAAAAGCUCAAGUCGGGAUGACCUGAAGUAGGGAAUUAAGUCUUGUAUCUUUUCAUGGAAGUGCUCUUUUUAAAAUAAUCUGUACUUUUUUUUUUUUUUAAGAUUUUAUUUAUUUAUUUGAGAGAGAGAAUGAGAGACAGCAUGAGAGGGAAGAGGGUCAGAGGGAGAAGCAGACCCCCCGCUGAGCAGGGAGCCCGAUGCGGGACUCGAUCCCAGGACUCCAGGACCAUGACCUGAGCCGAAGGCAGUCGCUUAACCGACUGAGCCACCCAGAGAGCCCGAUGCGGGACUCGAUCCCGGGACUCCAGGAUCAUGACCUGAGCUGAAGGCAGUCGCUUAACUGACUGAGCCACACAGGCGCCCAAUGAAACUUUAUUUAUUUUUAUAAAGAUUUUAUUUAUUAUUUGACAGAGAGAGAAUGAGGGAGAGAGAGCACAUGAGAGGGGGGAGGGUCAGAGGGAGAAGCAGACCCCCCGCUGAGCAGGGAGCCCGAUGUGGGACUCGAUCCCAGGACUCCAGGACCAUGACCUGAGCCGAAGGCAGUCGCUUAACCAACUGAGCCACCCAGGCGCCCUAGUCUGUACUUUUUAAUGCAAAUAUACGUGGACUUAACCAUCCGAGCAAAUGUUGGACCUAAUUCAAAUCAUUGAGUUCUUCUAAUUAUGCUGUCAUUUCUCCUCAUAUUUCUGAAACUCAUUUUUGGUAGUUUCUUUUAAGCAUCUAAAGCCUGAUUUUUCUCAUUUGGUGAAUUUGUUCUGAGUAUCUAGCAUGCUCCAAGCUUUGGGCCAGGUAUCAGUGAAGAAGAGGUGACGGUUCUCAAACUCCUGGCCUCAGAAAGGACACAGGUAUGUAAGCAAUUAGAAGAGAUCCAGAUAAUCCAUUCUUAAAUAAUCAAGUCUUUUAGGAUUGUAUAUGAUUUGCAAAAACUUCUUUACACUAUCCCAAACUGUGAGCACAUCAACGUCUUGUAAGAGUGGCCGUGUCUCCUCGACUAUUAUUUCCAGACGCUAUUUCCAACAAAAGGAACCAGAGCUUUUUUUAGGAGAAAUAGCUGAUUUGAAGUCCGGAGCAGGGAACAGCCCGAUGAGGUCCUUGGGUCAGGCCUGCUCGCUCGCUCUUCCUCUCCUCAUUGCUAGCACUAUAGCCUCUCCUGUGUGGACAGAUCCCGAUCCCAGGAAACUCCAACUCCUAUGACCUAGUGCCUGGGGGGACGAUGGGUUUCGGAGAGGGAAAAUGGGGAACAGCAGGGGGUAAAACCUCUUCCUUUGUAGUGUAUCACACGUGGGCACAGAUGGGGUUCAGGUGGGGUUGCGAGAAGGCUGGCAGCCACUUUGAGAAGCAGAGAGCCUGAGGCUGAAGGAAUGGGAUGCAAGGCAGGAUUGACAGGAAGGAGCAGUGAGGGAAAAGUCCCAGAGCUUGGGGAUGGCAGGCCAGGAGGAGCACCCUGGACGCCAGUGUGGGUGGGAUGGGGCAAGGUUGUGUGUGUGGUGCGGGGCAGUGGUGGUCACAGUGGUGAGCGGUGGAAGGGUACAGAGAGGUGUCCACACCUCUCCUAAAUCAGGCUUUGUCUUAGGCUGGUCAGGGUCAGCAAGGCCUCCAAGUGCCUGGCACACGGCUGACUGUGUGGCUGGGAGUUAGCGUGGAAUCUGAGACGUUUUCGGAGUGUUAGACGUCUGAGGGCUGAGGUUUGGGGUACGUGCCCUCACGAUGCAGGACAUUCCGAGGAGUCAGAUGCAGAGAGUCACACUACUCCCCGGGGCUACGGGAGUGGCCGGUGUCUGUUUCCUGCAAUCUUUUCAGGGGGUUCUUUCCCCCCCACACCAUGAAUGCUCAGCUGAACCCCGGAGGGGGGCCCCCGUGCAGAUCUCCAGGUUCUUUCUGGUGCGACGCUCUGGUCUUCGGUAUCCCGUCCCCCCAACUGAGGUGGGAGUGUAUGAAACCUCUGCACGCGAGGGACUGCAUUUUCCUUUCCAACUAACGAGCUCCUGAACUGGGCCGGAAGCAGCAACUGAUGACAAAUCGUUGCUCCUAACUUUUCUUUUCUUUUUUUUUUUUUUAAAGAUUAUUUAUUUAUUUAUUCAUGAGAGACAGAGAGAGAGAGGCAGAGGGAGAAGCAGGCUCCCAAGGAGCAGAGAGCCCGAUGCGGGACUCGAUCCCAGGACCCUGGGAUCAUGACCUGAGCCGAAGGCAGACGCUUAACCAUCUGAGCCACCCAGGCACCCGCUCCUAACUUUUCAACAGAGCCGCCCGCAUUCGAGUCAGAGGACGACAGUAAAGUUAGUUAAUAUGUAGUGGGGGCGGUUCCGUUUGAUGAGGCCGCUGAUCCUGAAGGUGGUCAUCAGAAGUGGUCCAGCUGGUCAGCACCAAUACUGCAGGGGUUUUUCUUCUCUUCGUCAUCUAAAGCCUGUAAUUCCCUCUUCCUCCUUUCUCAUAAAAACCCCUCACUUUCCCUGCAUGAGUGGCACACUUUUCUGGUUACUCCGGAAUCUGUGUUCCCCCAAAUUGCAAUUCUGAGACCCCGAAUAAGACCUUUGUUCCUUUCCAGGUUUGCUUCCUAAAUAGUGUCAGAAGUGAGAUCCAGGGGUGCCUGGGUGGCUCAGUCGGUGAAGCACCUGCCUUCGGCUCAGGUCAUGUUCCCGGGUCCCGGGAUCGAGCCCCGCAUCCCGCUCCCUGCUCAGCGGGGAGCCUGCGUAGAUUCGAGCCAUUGCGCUCUGAUAGUCCCCCGAUGGCUCCGAGUUCCAGUGGUGAGUCCUCUCAGUUCUGGACCUCCCUCUUUUUGGUUGAGAUUCAGCUUAGUUUUAUUUGGGUGUCUUUCUGGUGACAGCUUCUGUCUGUCUGUCUGCCUGAACUACAGAGAGCUAUGUUCUGUCUGGUGAAUACUCAGCAGGGUCUUUGUUUUGGAAAAUCGCUGCUGGAGAGAGCCCCUGCCUGGAGCCCCAGCUGGGUUAUAUGUUGUGAAUCCAUUUUAUGUCAGUUUUAGUCUUACUGGACCCAGCUGAGCUGGUGUUGGAGUGGCCACUCUGGCCAUCUUUUGAGAUCCCCAAAUUAGUUUAUUUGCAUGCACAAUUGGAAAAAGAAAAGGAAACCAAGCAAUUUGAAUAGGAAGCAUAUUUCAAUUGGUGUUUGGAGGUCUCCAAGAAAUGAAAUGAUUCUCAACUUGCUUCCUUAUAAGAGAAUAACCCUAAACCUUCUAGAGCUGAGUCUGACCUCUCUCAGAGACUAUCUAAAAAGCUCACUGAGAAACCACUACAGUUCCUCCUUCUCUGUCUCUCUCUCCUGCCCUCCGCCUAGGUAUCCUGGUUUGGGCUGCACUUCAUUCUGUAAUAAUUAGACAACCUGGAGGUUCCUCUAGAGCCUCCAGCCACCCAGGCUCCUUAAUUUCAUUUCAUUUCAUUUUAUUUAUUUAUUUUAUUUUUAAUUUUAUUUAUUUUAUUUUAUUCUGGUGUAGUUAACAUUACAGUGUAAUAUCAGUUUCAGGUGUACAAUAUAGUGAUUCAACACUUCAUACAUGACCCGGUGCUCAUCACAAGUGCACCCCUUAAUCCCCAUCACCUAUUUCCCCCAUCCCUCCCACCUUCCUCCCUUCUGAUAACCAUCAGUUUGUUCUCUGUAGUUAAGAGUCUGUUUCUUGGUUUGUCUUUCUCUUCUUUUUCCCCCUUUGCUCAUUUGUUUUGUUUCUUAAAUUCCACAGAUGAGUGAGAUCAUCUGGUAUCUGUCUUUCUCUGACUGACUUAUUUUGCUUAGCCUUAUACUCUCUAGCUCUAUCCAUGUCAUUGCAAAUGGCAAGAUUUCGUUCUUUUUUGUGGCUGAAUAAUAUUCCACGGUGUGUGUGUGUGUGUGUGUUUACACACCACCUCUUCUUUAUUUUUUAAUUUUUAAUUUUUUUCUCAAAAUUUUCUUUAAAUUCUAGUUAGUUCACUUAUAAUGCAAUAUUGGUUUCAGUAGAAUUUAGUGAUUCAUCACUUAGUGCUCAUCAUCACAAGUGCCCUCCUUAAUACCCAUCACCUAUCUAGCCCGUCCCCCCACCCACCUCCCUCCAUCAACCCUGUUUGUUCUCUAUCUGAAGAGUCUCUUACGGUUUGCUUCCCUUUGUCUUCUUCCCUCCCCUUCCUAUAUGUUCAUCUGUUUUGUUUCCUAAAUUCCACAUAUGACUGAAAUCAUAUGGUAUUUGUCUUUCUCUGACUGAUUUAUUUUGCUUAGCAUAAUACAGUUUUGCUCCAUCCAUGUUGUUGCAAAUGGCAAGAUUUCAUUUUUUUGAUGGCUGAGUAGUAUUCCAUUGUACAUAUAUACCACAUCUUCUUUAUCCAUUCAUCUGUCAAUGGACAUCUGGGUUCUUUCCAUAUUUUGGCUAUUGUGGACAUUGCUGCUAUAAACAAUGGGGUGCAUGUGCCCCUUUGAAUCUGUAAUUUUUUUAAAGAUUUUAUUUAUUUAUUUGACACCGAGAGAGAGAAAGAGAGAAAGAAAGUGAGUGCAUAAGCAGGGGGAAUGGCAGAGGGAGAGGGAGAAGCAGACUCCCUGCAGAGCAGGGAGCCUGAUGCAGGACUCCAUCCCAGGACCCUGAGAUCAUGACCUGAUCUGAAGGCAGUUGCUAAACUGACUGAGCCACCCAGGUGCCCCUGAAUCUGUAUUUUAUAUCCUUUGAGUAAAUACCUUGUAGUGCUAUUGCUGGAUCAUAGGGCAGUUCUAUUUUUAGAACUUUUAAAAAAUUUUUUAACUUUUAGAGGAACCUCCAUACUGUUCCCCAUAUAGUUUGCACUCCCACCAACAGUGCGAGAGGGUUCCCCUUUCUUCGCAUCCUCGCCAACACCUGUUGUUUCUUGUGUUGUUAAUUUUAGCCAUUCUGACAGGUAUGAAGUGGUAUCUCAUUGUGGUUUUGAUUUGUGUUCUCCUGAUGAUGAGUGAUGUUAAGCAUCUUUUCAUGUGUCUGUUGGCCAUCUGGAUGUCUUUGGAAAAAUGUCUAUUCAUGUCUUUCUAAACUGGAUUAUUUAUUUUUUGGGUGUUGAGUUUGAUAAAUUUUUUAUAGAUUUUAGAUACUAUCCCUUUAUCAGAUAUGGCAUUUGCAAAUAUUUUCCCCCACUCUGUAGGCUGCUUUUUAGUUUUGUUGAUUGUUUCCUUCGCUGUGCAGAAGCUUUUUAUCUUGAUGAGGUCCCAAUAGUUCAUUUUUGCCCUUGCUUCCCUUGCCUUUGGCGAUGUUUCUAGGAAGAAGUUGCUUUGGCUGAGGUCAAAGAGGUUGCUGCCUGUGUUCUCCUUUAGGAUUUUGAUGGACUCCUGUCUCACAUUGAGGUCUUUCAACCAUUUGGAGUCUAUUUUUGUGUGUGGUGUAGGGAAGUGGUCCAGUUUCAUUCUUCUGCAUGUGGCUAUCCAGUUUUCCCAACACCAUUUGUUGAAGAGACUGUCUUUUUUCCAUUGGUCAUUCUUUCCUGCUUUGUCGAAGAUGAGUUGACCAUAGAGUUGAGGAUCCAUUUCUGGGCUCUCUAUUCUGUUCCAUUGAUCUAUGUGUCUGUUUUUGUGCCAGUACCAUACUGUCUUGAUGAUGACAGCUUUGUAAUAGAGCUGGAAGUCCGGAAUCGUGACGCCUCUUGCUUUGCUUUUCUUUUUCAACAGUCCUUUAACUAUCUGGGGUCUUUUGUGGUUCUAUACAAAUUUUAGGAUCCAUUUAUUCUAGCUCUGUGAAAAAUGCUGGGGGUAUUUUGGUAGGGAUUACAUUAAAUGUGUAGAUUGCUUUGGGUAGUGUAGACAUUUUAACAAUGUUUGUUCUUCCAAUCCAUGAGCUUGGAAUUUCUUCCCAUUUCUUUGUGUCCUCUUCAGUUUCUUUCAUAAGUGUUCUGUAGUUUUCAGAGUACAGAUCUUUUACCUCUUUGUUUAGAUUUAUUCCUAGGUAUCUUAUUAUUUUUGGUGCAAUUGUAAAUAGGAUCAAUUACUUGAAUUUCUCUCUUUUUUUUUUAAGAUUUUAUUUAUUUAUUUGAGAGAGAGAGAAUGAGAGACAGAGAGCAUGAGAGGGAGGAGGGUCAGAGGGAGAAGCAGACUCCCUGCCGAGCAGGGAGCCCGAUGCGGGACUCGAUCCUGUGACUCCAGGAUCAUGACCUGAGCCGAAGGCAGUUGCUUAACCAACUGAGCCACCCAGGCGCCCCUUGAAUUUCUCUUUAUGCUCCUUCAUUUUUUGUGUAUAGAAGUGCAACAGACUUUUGUGCAUUGAUUUUAUAUCCUGCAACUUUGAUGAAUUCCUGUAUCAGUUCUAGCAAUUUUUUGGUGGAGUUUUUUGGGUUUUCUACAUAGAGUAUCAUGUCAUCUGCAAAGAGUGAAAGUUUGACUUCUUCCUUGUUGAUUUGGAUGCCUUUUAUUUCUUUUUGUUGUCUGGUUGCUGAGGCUAAGACUUCCAGUACUGUGUUAAAUAGUCAUAGUGAGAGUGGACAUCCCUGUUGUGUUCCUGACCUUAGGGGAAAAGCUCUCAGUUUUUCCCGAUUGAAGAUAUUAGCUCUGAGUCUUUCGUAUAUGGCCUUUAUGAUGUCGAGCUAUGUUCCCUCUAUUCCUACUUUGUUGAGGCUCUUUAUCAAGAAUGGGUGCUGUAUUUGUCACAUGCUUGUUUUUCUUGUUUGAGAGGAUCAUGGGUUCUUAUCCUUUCUUUUAUUAACAUGGUAUAUAUAUAUAUCACAUUGGUAGAUUUGUGAUAUUGAACCAGCCCUGCAGCCCAGGAAUAAAUCCCACUUGAUUGUGGUGAAUAAUUCUUUUAAUGUAUUGUUGAAUUCAGUUUGCUGGUAUCUUGUUGAGAAUUUUUACAUCCAUGUUCAUCAGGGUUAUUGGCCUUUUUAUUCUCCUUUUAUUCUCCAGGUUAUUCUCCUUUUUACUGAGGUCUUUGUUUGGUUUUAGAAUCAAGGUAAUGCUGGCCUUGUAGAAUGAGUUUGGAAGUUUUGCUUCCAUUUCUAUUUUUCGGAACAGCUUGAGAAGAAUAUGUAUUAACUCUUCUUUAAAUGACUGUACACCACCUCUUCUUUAUUCAGUGAUCAGUCGAUGGACACUUGGGCUGCUUCCAUAAUUUGGCUAUUGUAGAUAAUGCUGCAAUAAACACAGGGGUGCACCUAUAUCUCUUUAUUACCGUUUUUGUAUUCUUUUUGUAUUCUCUACCCAGUAGUGUAAUUGCUGGAUCAUAGGGUAGUUCUAUUUUUAAUUUUUUGAAGAACCUCCAUACUGUUUUCCAGAGUGACUGUACCAGUUUGUAUUCCCACCAACAGUGCACGAGGGUUCUUUUUUCUCCACAUUCUCACCAACACUUGUUGUUUCUUAUGUUUUUGAUUUUAGCCAUUCUCAGAGGUGUGAAAUGAUAGCUCAUUAUAGUUUUGAUUUGCAUUUCCCUGAUGAUGAAUGAUGUUGAACAUCUUUUCAUGUGUCUGUUGGCCAUUUGUAUGUCUCCUUUGGAGAAAUGUCUGGUUAUUUCUUCUGCCCAUUUUAAUCGGAUUGUUUUUUGGAUGUUGGUUUGUAUAAGUUCUAUAUAUUUUGGGUACUAUCCCUUUAUCAGAUAUGUCAUUUGCAAAUAUCUCCUCCCAUUCUGUAGGUUGUCUUUUAGUCUUGUUGAUUGUUUCCUUGGCUGUGCAGAAGAUUUUUAUUUUGUUAUGGUCCUAAUAGUUUGUUUUUGUUUUUAUUUCUCUUGCCUCAGGAGACAUCUCUAGAAAAAUGUUGCUAAAGCUGAUGUCAGAGAAAUUACUGCCUGUGUUCUCUUCUAGGAUUUUUAUGAUUUCAGGUCUCACAUUUAGAUCCUUAAUCCAUUUUGAGUUUAUUUUUGUGUAUGUUGUAAGAAAGUGGUUCAGUUUCAUUCUUUUGCAUGUUGCUGUCCAGUUUUCCCAACAUCAAUUGUUGAAGAGUGUUUUUUUCUAUCUCCCGAUGGUAUUGGUAAAAUUAAUUUCUAAAAGAGCUCCAUUGAAUUGGCUUAAAGAAAAUAAGGUGCUUAUAUAAAUUAAAUUUGCAAAAAUAUAAUAGAAAUGAACCCAAGUAAGUUUUAAGUUUACAUAAGCUAGGAUUAAUCUUUAAUAAAUAAAAACUCAGGUGCAUCCCUGCAGCUUUCCUGUCUUAGGGAAAAGAACGAUGCCCGAGGGAUUUUUUUUUUUUUUUUGCUCCCAGACUCGGGAGGAUGAAAGUCAUUAUUUGUAAAUAGCCUGGCAUAAGAAGGAGCCCGUGUCCAGCCUGGACAUCCAGCAUGGCAGAGCCGGGAGGAUCCACAGACUGGCGUCUGCAGGCACAAACAUCGCUGUUAGGAUCUGGAAGGUGGAAAAAGGACCCGAUGGAAUUGUUGAAUUUUUGUCCACUCUUGCUCAUCAUACCAAAGCUGUCAGGAUCAUGCGUUUUUCUCCAAAUGGGGAAAUUUUAGCAUCAGGAGGAGAUGGUGUUCUCAGUCUGUUGUGGACAGUAAAUGAUAACAAGGUGCCAAAAUAGAUCGCUUUUCAGGAUGAGGAUGAGGCUCAGCUGAAUGAAGAGAUUUGGACUGUUAUCAAUCCUGGGGGACCACUUAGAAGUUGUGUAUGAUAUUUGUUGGGCUACCGAUGGGAAUUUAAUGCCUCUGCCUCUGUGGAGGAUGUGGCCAUCCCAUGGGAUGUCAGUAAAGGACAAAAGAUCUCCAUUUUUAAUGAACAUAAAAGGUAUGUCCAGGGAUAGGAAUAUAAAUAAAAGGAAUAACGUGGGACCCUUGGGUCAGCCUGUUGCCGCUCUGAGCUGGGACAGGAACCUGAGGGCACACAGCAUCCAGAAGACCUGUGACUCCCAAUGCCUUGAAAAUGCUGUGUCUGGGAGAGGGGCUGCGGGAGAGGGGAGAAGUUACCAGAUGUUUCAUGAUGACGGCAUGAAGUCGUUCAACCUAGACUUGUUUCACUCCUGAUGGAUCUUUGCUCCUCACGCCAGGUGGGUUUAACAAGCUUCUGAUUUCAGGGCAUCAUGGCAGCUCCUGAUUUGGUGAUGCUGCUUUUCAGCUCAAUGAAUUCUGAUUAAAAGAGCGAUCCCCAGCUUGCUCAGGCACUGAAACCUCCAGGGGAGCAUUCCAGUCAGGCUGGGCAGAGGAGCCCCAAGACAGUGAGUUGUACGUGCGUAUGUAUGAUGCACAUGGGCUUCAAAGCAUCGUGGGCUGUGCUUUAAGAAGGACAUUGGGGAACAUGCGGGAAGGACAUUGACUUGGUCGGGGAGCGGGGGUCUCAGAACCAAGAAUAAGUGGUUGCUAAGUAUAUUAAAACUUAUUUACUAAACUCAGUGACAAAGCUUUGCCAAAUAGCAGCUCUAAAAAUAUUGUCAGUUAAAAUCAGGUACCAGAUGGGUGUCUGCUAUCACCAUCGUUAUUCUUUGUGGUGUUAAUACGUGCAGGAAAACGAGGAAAUGGAGUUACAAAGAUUGGAAAGGAAGAGAGAAAACUUUGCAAUGGGAUUAUGUUUCUAGAAAAUCCAAGAGAUUUAAAAAUAGAAUAAAAAAUUUUGAUCAGGUGGCUGGAUAUUGUGAAAUACAGAAAAAUCUUCUAUAGUGGAAUAAGUACUUAGUGAUAUAAAAAGGAAAAUUUUCCAUUCAUGAUAAUGCAAAACCCACAAACCAUGGGAAAAAAUUUAAUAAAGACACAAAGCCUUUGUGAAGACUAGAAGGUCUUAUUGAAGACUGUAAAGCAAGUUCUGAACUAAGAGAUCUCCUGCUCUGAAAAUUAACAAAUGAAUUAAUUUGCACUUAGGAUCCUUUAGGUUUUUUUUUUUUAAUUGGAUGACAUCUCAGCUUUUUUAGGAGAAUAAAUGCUGAAGAAUAGUUUUAAGCAUGAAAAAUAGGGGUGCCGGGGUGGCUUAGUUGGUUAAGUGUCUGCCUUUGGCUCAGGUCAUGAUCUCAGGGUCCUGAGAUCAAGCCCCGGGUAGGACUCCAUGCUCAAUGGGGAGUCUCCUUCUCCCUCUUCCUCUGCUCCUCCCCCUACUUAUGCUCUCUCUCUCUCUCAAAUAAAUAAUUUUUUUUUUAAAGUGUGAAAAUAAGAGUAAUACUUGAGCACGCAUUUUUCUGACUAAAUCUCAGCAGAUACUAUGGUGCCACCAUUAUCAAAUCAAUAUGGUAUUAGUACAGGAAUAAACAGAUUAGUGGACCAGAACACAAACAGAUCUUGAGAUAAAAGGGAAUUUAAUAGCUGACCUGGGCAGUAUUUCAAUGGGAAGAAUGAAUUAUUGAGUCAGUGGUGCUGGAAUGUCCAACUGUCUGGAAGAAAAAGAUAUUGGACCCUUAACUUACACAUACAAAUAAAUUCUAGGUGAAUUCAAUAUUUAAUAUAAAGGUACAGAUGUAAAACUCUCGCAAGAAAAUGUAGGAGGACAUCCUAGGAACGGGAAGCUGGAAAUUCCGAAGCUCUACGUGAGAGACCUGUCUGACUGCGUUUGACUAGGGAACCUUUGUACGCAAAGAUCUAGGAGGCGGAGUCAGUCAACAAAGAACAGAACUGGAGAAUACUGUUUACGGUACAGGAAAGAGAGAGCCUAUGUAUAUCAUAUACAUUUAAUGGCUCUUCCAACUUGACGAGAAGACAGAAGAGCCCAGAAGAAAAAAAAUGAGUGAAAAAUGCAGAAAGGCAGUUUGUAGAAGAGCAGAUCUCUGUGUUCAGCACCCACAGGAAAAGAUUCGGAAACUCAAUAAUGGAGAAAUACAAAUUAAAGUGACAUACAAUUAGGUAUCUCUUUAUUCUUUUCAGACUGGAAAGAAAGUGAAAAUAUCUACUGCUGAUGAGCAAGCAGAAUGUGGGUAUUGCUGGUGGGAAUGUGAGUGGUUACAGCUUUUUUUAGAAAACGGUCUGGUCACUGUUAAAUGCAUGUACGCUUUAGCCAAUCGGCCCCUCGUCUUAGACUCCGUCUUUAAGAAAUGAAACCCCUCCUCUUAGACUCAGUCUUUAAGAAAUGAAAACAUAGUACAUAAAAGUAUAUCUUCAGUGAUGUUUAUUGCAAGUAUGGUUCGUAGUUGUAAAAAAACUACUGAUUAACAAGAUGGGUGAAUAAAUUACGGAAUUUUCAUAGCAGUGACUAUUAGGCAGCUAGUAAAAAGAUGCAUUAGUGCAAUCCAAGUUAGCUUUCGUGAGGGGUCAACUGAGCAGGUUUAAACAAGACCCUGUGAAAUUGACUAAAACCCCCACUGUAUGAAUAUAUAUAUGCGAUUGAGUUGGCACUGGUUGUGAUGGUUGGUGAGCAUGGAGGAAAGACAGAAAUGGUACAAUAGUUUGUUCAAAUGGGUUACAUGGGGAUGGAAGCGUGGGCUGGGGUAGGGGAGGGUAGAAAGAGGGCUGACAGGGUGUCUGCCCUCCCCAGUGGAGAUGAGAUGGUCCCAUGUGAGAUUAACGUGUGUAGUAUGUCAAGAAAGGGUGUCCCAGGGCAGCUGUAGUUGGCGGUCAUUCCAUGGCUGGGUCUGGCCUGGUUGUCAGGACAUCCGGCCGUGAGUGUGGAAGAGCACCAGCAUGGGCUCUUCCCAGAGCAAGGUCAGCUGCUGCAGGGGGCUGGGGGAUAGCAGAAGCCUGGGUCUCCCUGGCUCCAUCAGGCAGGUGGGCAAGGCCAGGAGCAGGCUGUGGCUGGCAGCCAAGCUCAGAACCCAGGGGACAGAGCGGGGGGAUCUAGUGAUGGUGCUUCUCCAGCAGGAAGUGCUGGCCUCCCAGGCAGGGAGAGGUCUUCCGUAUCAGGGCAGGUCCUCAAAAAAAAAAAAAAAAAAAAAGCCAAAAGGGAAAGAAAAACCCAAAACAAAUUGAAGAUGGUUUAAUUAAAACUGGUAUGUCUUUGGGCGCCUGGGUGGCUCAGUUGGAUAAGCGACUGCCUUCGGCUCAGGUCAUGAUCCUGGAGUCCCUGGAUCGAGUCCCGCAUCGGGCUCCCUGCUUGGCAGGGAGUCUGCUUCUCCCUCUGACCCUCACCCUUCUCCUUCUCUCUCUCUCUGUCAUUCUCUCUCUCUCAAAAAUAAAUUAAAACAACAACAACAAAAAAAAACCUGGUAUGUCUUUAAAGUUGUCAGCAUUAAAUAUAAUGCAUAUAUUCUACUCAGGUUUACUAAAAGUCAAAUAAACUCAUUAUCCCUGUUCUAGAAUUUGUCAGCAAGAAAGAGAACUUAGAGAUGAUGGUUAAUGUCUCAUGAGAUUUUCAUGUCUCUAUUUAAUGUCUCAUGAAAUUUUCAUGAAUUAUCUAAACAUUAUUAAGAGCAAGUGAAUUAAUUAAAUGUCAGAUAGAAGUUUAUAAAUGAACUUUUCAAUAAUAUUUAUGUCUACUUAAUAGUUUCCCCAAUUUUUUGGAGGGUAACUUAAAACCUUAGUUUUGCUAAGUUAAAUUACAUGAUGGAUAGCAUUAAAUAUCUAGAUCAUUUCCAAGUAAGAUAAAAUACGGAAACAUUAAUGAUUAACCAUAUGUGUAUCUACUUUUGACUUUCUCUUAGAGAGAAACUAAAGAUUUUGGGUAUGUUAGUAAACAUGUUUUGUGCCAUGCUGAGAAAUCUGCUGUGCGGAGGCAUAUGUUUCUAAAAAUUAUUAAAUGUAUUCAUAAAUUUUAUAUAAAGAAUGCUGGUAUAAUAAUUUAUAAUUGUUUACUUCUUAGUUUUCACUAGAAAUUAAGGCUUCUAAGGGUUAAGAAUUCUAAUAAAUAUGAUGAAAUGACUAGAAAUAAUAAGGGAACCAUGUCUGUAUGCAGAGAGAAUGAGAUGUGUGUUUUUGGUGAGAAAAGGGAUGAGGAAUGGAGAUGCAUUUUUUUGUUGAGGGAAAAAAAACUAGUUUUGUCCUAAAGUGAGGUUGGUUGUUUAAGGAGGAAAAACAUAGACAAAAUCUGAAUGUAAAAAAAGAAAGCUGUAGAAAGUCUGUGAAAAAGGAAUCUUGGGGAAGGAAUUUUGUGUGGUCAGGGCUAAGAGUGGAAUGCAUGAGUUUUAAUACCACAAUACACUGGUGCAAGAUGGAAUUUGGUUUUUCUCUCUGUUAAAGUGAUCAAGUUUUCUUACAUUAUUGGUGUGUUCUUAGUAAGAAAUUGUAAGCAAAGUUUUUCUUUAUCUUUAUUGUAGUCUGCAUAGAAAAACAGUCUCUAUGUUUUGUCUUUAUCAGGUCUUUGAUUACUUAAGAAAACGGAAUGUUCUUAUAAGAGCAAAUUUUGCUAACAACUAUGUCUGCAUUUGCCUUUAGAAUCUUUUGUUGUCACUUCAGUUCAGUAGAUAAUUAUUCAGCUUUAUAAUGAUCUGUGAUCCUCUUCAGUUAUGUGCUUUUAAAACCUUCUGAUAUUUUUGACAGACUUCCCCAAAUUCAAAUUCUAUAUGAAGUCUUUUUGACUAAUUAGACUCAUUUAUUUGGUAUGUUCAAUUACAAGAGAAGCAUUGUCAGGUAAGUGAUAAUAAGCCUUCUUAGGUUAUAGUGUAUGAGGGAAUGCUGUUAAUACAACUAUUCCAGAAAUUGUAUGAAGUUCCUAAAGUUUUGAUAUGUCCUGGCAUAAUGUUAUCGCUUGUAUUUCUAGUAGGGAACUAUUUGUUGUGUGUCACAGAAUAACCCAAUUUCCUUGUCAAUUGUGUCGUCAGGAACCCUCAUCAGAUCUUUAAGCAUUGGCCAUUUUUGAGUCUUUGUCAUUUAGGGUUAUUGUUUUACUCUGAUGCUCUUGGAAAUGUCUUUCUUCUUCAAGGAGAUUCAUGGAAAGAACUUUUGACAAAUACAGGUUUCUGAUACCCUUAAUAUUAUAAAACUAAACUCCCAGUACUAGUAAGAACUCCCAGAACGGGUGGGAAAUCUGGAUUCCAACAGAACAAGAAUUAACACAGGACUGAAUGGAUUGAGGAAGAUGUUAGUAGUUGUUAUGACUCUUGUUUGAAAUAUUCCAUUCCCUAAUAUUUGUUCUCCCAGAUUUAGGAAAAUUUUUUCUCUUAAGGUAUCUACAACUUACAGAAAUUUGGUAAUAUAUUCCUUUAUAAACAAAUAUGAAGCAUUUGUCUUUUUCUCCCUACUCGAUCCCUCCAGAAUUUGGAAACUCUCAGUGAGUGUUUUUAUUUUCACGGCAAUUAUAGUCAUUUCCAUAAGUUCAAUAAAAAUCUCUUCUGCUUGGAAUAGGACAAAAUUGGAAAUAAUGGUUAUAUUACCAAGGCUUUGACUGAAAGGUCAUCUUUGAGAGGCAAAGACUCAGAUAUGACCAGGCAGCUUUAAGGAACUGAGGUUGGCUUUAUGGAGCUAAUAAAGCCCCUUGGAAAAAAUCAGCCUGGUACCUUAUUUACAGGGUUCCCAGCAACCUUACCAGGUGAGCAAGGAAGGUCACUUCUUGGCAGGCUCAGGAACCUCAGGAUAUUUUGGGGACCUUGAGAAGAGAGGAGGAAUUCACCCAAAUCUAUGGGUAUUGUAGGUCAAGUCUGAUGGCAAGGAUUUGGCUUGGCUUCUGGCCUUGAUAGGCUAUUAAAAGUUCAGUCUGGACCUUCCUUAUGAAAUGUUCCAGCAAAGCAGGUUUUUUUUUUUUUUUAAAGAUUUUAUUUAUUUGACAGAGAGAGACACAGCGAGGGAGGGAACACAAGCAGGGGGAGUGGGAGAGGGAGAAGCAGGCUUCCCGCUGAGCAGGGAGCCCGAUGCGGGGCUUGAUCCCAGGACCCUGGGAUCAUGACGUGAGCCAAAGGCAGACGCUUAACGACUGAGCCACCCAGGCACCCCGCAAAGCAGGUUUUAAAGAGUCGACAUGGUCAACCCCUAUUCUUGCCGCACUUAUGUAAAUAAUUAGACCAAGUUUUGUGAAAACUGGACUUAUUUUACAAACAAAUUUAUCUUUUUUUUUUUUUUUAAAGAUUUUAUUUAUUUGACAGAGAGAGACACAGCGAGGGAGGGAACACAGCAGGGGGAGUGGGAGAGGGAGAAGCAGGCUCCUGGCCGAGCAGGGAGCCCAAUGCAGGACUCGAUCCCAGGACCCUGGGAUCAUGACCUGAGCCGAAGGCAGACGCUUAACAACUGAGCCACCCAGUCGCCCCUUAACAAAUUUAUCUUAAUUUAGCUAUCCUUGAUGGAAAUUAGGGGGAAAUCAGGGGGAUUUUAGAGAAAAACAUUGUUUACUAACACAUUUUUGUUAGCUUCUCGUUCUGAUGGACUUUGAAUGUGUGCUGUUUUCUGAUGAAACUGGGCUGGAUCCUGAAUUCUUCUGGUUUCCUUGAGUAUCUGACUGUGACUCUCCAAACAAAGGUUUCCCGUUUUGUCCCGUUUUUUUUCUCACUUGGAGUCUUUGGGAACUGAAGCUGCCCUUUCCCCCUGAAGGCCUGCAGACUGAAGCUAGACAACUUGAGGUAAACUUCAGAGAAAUUACCAGAACAGCCCAUGUUGAGAGAAGAUCAGGAGAUACUCAAAGGGCAGAGCAGAAAAACCUGUGGGACGGCCACUGCCUGCCCCCACUGCAUCGAGGUGCCUUGGGCCUGGCUUCCAGAAACCUCGGUGGCAGCAUGGGGCUGAUCAUUUGCUCCAGCCAUUAACCUGUGUUUUCCUUUUGUUGCCAUAGAAAUGCCUCUUAUCAAAUAGCUAAUUGCUGACACAGUCCGGGCCCGACUUUGGGAGCCCCCCUGUAAGGCCACCCCUGGAAAAGAGGCAACCGUUUAACUGAACAAAACUCGAGCUGGUUCAUAAAGUAUGCAGCGGACUUCCUAGGUCCAGAACAGAGCGUUUCAGCUCCAGCCAUGAGGGAACAAUGCUGAUCUGGGAUGUGUUUCUAAGAACAAAAAUCUUGAUCGGGAGGGGGAAUUAUGGGAUUGCCUAAAACCUCUGGACAUGAGGGACUCCAUUUUUCAUUCCAACUAACGAACUCCUAAACUGGAGUUCAGCAGCCAGUGAUGACAAAGGGUUGAGCCGCCCGCAUUCGGGUCAGAGGACGACAGUAAAGUUGAUGAAUACAUAGCAGGGGUGGUUCCGUUUGAUGGGGCCACUAGUCCCUAAGAUAGUCAUCACGAGCAGUUCAACUGAUCAGCCCCAGUGCGGGAGGGUUUUUCCCCCCUCUCUCUUUUACGUAAAUCCUGUAAUUCCCUCUUCCUUCCUUCUCAUAAAAAGCCCUUGCUUUCCCUGCGCGAGUGGGACACUUUCCUGGUUAUUCUGGAAUCUGUGCUCCCCCGAAUUGCAAUUCUGAGACCCCGAGUCAAGACCCUCGUUCCUUCUCAGUUUGGCCUCCGUUUCUCAGGUGGACAAACUCCGACAGCCUCCAACUCUCCAGCCCCUCAGCAGUUUCCGCAAGUCAGGGAGACUUCUGGAAAGGUGUCUCUUCCCCGCUCUGCGCCCUGGAAACUCCAAACGGUCAGCUGGGGCAAUCAUUCUGCUCACCUCACUGGUUCACUUGUCUCUUAGAGAUCACUGUUUUUUAUUGUCCAAUUUAUUUUGAGCACCGUUCUUUCAGCUAUUUGGUCCCCCCUGCACCCUUUUAUAUUUGGUUGUUUCAAACAAGAGGGUAAUAAUUGGUUGAAACACUUUAAAUAAAAGAUCCAAGCUAAUUUCAAGGUGUAAUUAAUAAAAAAUUAAAGCGUUAAAGAGAUGGAAUAAACCUUAAUAAUUGGUUGAAACACUUUAAAUAAAAGAUCCAAGCUAAUUUCAGGGUGUAAUUAAUAAAAAAUUAAAGCGUCAGACAGGAGGGUAAAUCUGAUCCCUCGUCUCCUCCAUUUUAGCCAGCCGUGGAAACACAUGGGUCAUUUUUGAUGCUUUUGUUUCCUACUUAUUUUUGGUUUUAAUUUACAUUUCUCUCAUCUAAUGCUAAUGUGGGGCACUUUUUCAUGUGCUCAUUGGCCAGUGGUUCAUCUUUUUUGAUGAAAUGUCUGUUUAAAACUUGUGCCUUUUUUUUUUUAAUUGGGCUGCUUAUUUUUUUGUUCUUGAGUUGUAGGAAUUCUUGUGUUGUAUAUCGUGAGCAUGAGUUUUUCAUCAGAUGUGUGUUUUGCACAUAUUUUCUUCCUGUCUAUAGCUUACCUAUUCAUUUUUCUUUUUUUUUUUUAAAUAUAUUUAUUUAACAACAUCUUUUGUUAAGCAGAAGUUUAAAAAGUUUUUGGUGAAGCCUAAUUUAUUAGUGUCUCUUUUAUGGUAAUGCUUUCUGUGUCAUUUUUUUUAAAGAUUUUAUUUAUUUAUUUGAGAGAGAGAAUGAGGGAGAGCGAGUACAUGAGAGGGGGGAGGGUCAGAGGGAGAAGUAGACUCCCCGCCGAGCAGGGAGCCCGAUGUGGGACUCGAUCCAGGGACUCCAGGAUCAUGACCUGAGCCGAAGGCAGUCGCUUAACCAACUGAGCCACCCAGGCGCCCUCUGUGUCAUUUUUAAGAAAUCUUUGUGUACCUCCAAAUCAUGAAGUUAUUCUUCAUUACUUCUUCCAAAAACUUUAUAGUUUCAUGUUUCAGUUUAUCUCAGAUUAAUUUUUUAUAUGGUGUGAGCUAGGGAUAAAGAUUAAUUUUUUUCCCCAUAUGAACAUCCAGCUAUUCUAACACCAUUUGCUGAAAAAUAACAAAGGACUCCUAGUCUUUGUUUUGUUUUUAUUCCACUUUUGAAAUAUUUUUAUUUUUUAUUAUUAAUUUUUAAAAGUUUUAAUUCUAGCAUAGUAGCAUACCUUAGUUUCAGAAGUACAAUGUAGUGAUUCAGCAAUUCUAUACAUUACUCAGUGCUCUCCAUGAUAAGUGUGCUCUUAAUCCGCUUCCCCUGUGUCCCCAUCCCCCACCCGCCACCCCUCUGGUGACCAUCAGUUUGUUCUCUAGAGUUAGGGGUCUGUUUUUUGGUUUGUCUUUUUUUUUUUCCUUUGUUUGUUUUGUUUCUUAAAUUCCACAUAUGAGUGAAAUCAUAUGGUAUUUGUCUUUCUUUGCCUGAUUUAUUUUGCUUAGCGUUAUACCCUCUAGCUCCAUCCACGUCAUUGCAAAUGGCAAGAUUUCAUUCUUUUUUAUGGCUGAGUAAUAGUGCAUUGUGUAGGUAUAUACCACAUCUUCUUUAUCCAUUCAUCAGUCGAUAGGCGCUUCCAUAAUUUGGCUAUUGUAUAUAUGCUGCUAUAAACAUCUGGGUGCAUGUAUCCCUUUGGAUUAGUGUUUUUGUGUUCUUUGGGUAAAUACCCAGUAGUGCGAUUACUGGAUCAUAGGGUAGUUCUGUUUUUAACUUUUUGAGGAACCUCCAUACUAUUCUCCAUACAGUUUGCAUUCCCACCAACAGUGCACGAGGGUUCCUUUUUCUCCACAUCCUCUCCAACGCCUGUUGUUUCUUGAGUUCUUGAUUUUAGCCAUUGCUGACAGGUGUGAGGUGAUAUCUUGUUGUGGUUUAUGACUUCAAAUGGGUUCUAUUCUAUCCCAAUCUAAUUUUUCAAUCCUUUCCUAGUAUCAUACUGUCUUCACUCUAGUUUUAUAAUAAGUUUUGAAGUCAGGUAUUAUAAGUCUUCCAACUUUAUUCUUUUUCAAGAUUGCUUUGGCUAUUUAGGUCCUUUGUAUUUCUAUGAAUCUUAGAGUAAACUUGUCAAUUUCUACAAAAAAAAUGUUAGUGAGAUUAUGAUUGGAAAUGCACUGAAUCUAUUGAAUCAAGAGAUCAAUUUGGGGAGAAUUGGCAUGUUAACAACAGAGUCUUCUGAUCCUUGAUACUUUAGGGUUGCUAUUUUUGUAGGGUUUUAAUUGAUAUAUAAUGGAAUUUUGAUGGAAUAUCCUGGGUUUGAUACUCUUCUAGGAUUUUAUCCCUUUCAUCUACAUAUUUAUGUUUAUUGGCACAAAGAUUUUUAUACUAUUAUUUUAUCUUUUUAAUGUCUGCAACACCUACAGUAUAAUCUCUUCUCCCUGGUAAUGGUGACUUGUGUCUUUUCUCUCUUUUGUCCUUGACCAGUAAAAUUACUAGAGACUUUUUGAUUUUGUUUUGAUCUUUUCAAAGAACUAACUUUUAAGUAGAUUAUUUUGAAUAGAUCUCUAUUGUAUUUUUCUAGCUUAUAAAAUUCCACUCUUUAUUAUUUCCUUUUUCUUUAUUUUGCAGUUCUUUUUCUAAGUACUUGGACUCAAUUUUUAGCUCAUUAAAUUUCAGACUUUUUUUCUAAUGUCCGUGUUUCCCUCUACAUCCUGCUUCAAAUGAAUCCCUCAAGUUUGAUAUGUAUGUUUUUAUUAGUAUUUAGUUCUAAAUAAUUUCUGAUCUAUUAUGAUUUAUUUUUGACCAAUAUAUUAUAUUAAAAUGUCUCUUACUUUCCAACCAUGAAUUUUACUAGUUAUCAUUUUGUUUUUGAUUCUGAGCUUAGUUGCAUUAUGAUAUAUGCAAUCUUGUAUCUCUGUAUGAUAUUAUUCCUUGGAAAUUUGUGAAGAUGAAGCCUGUGUAUGAUCAGUUAUUAUAACUCUUACAUGUGUGCAGGAAAAUAAUUCUGCAGUUGUUGAGUGGUAUGUUAUAUAUGAUACUUAUAUCUAUCUAUGUCUUUUUGUUGUUGUUGUUGUUGUUGUUAUUUCAAA